GAUGAACGCUAGCUACAGGCUUAACACAUGCAAGUCGAGGGGCAGCAUGAACUUAGCUUGCUAAGUUUGAUGGCGACCGGCGCACGGGUGAGUAACACGUAUCCAACCUUCCGUUUACUCAGGGAUAGCCUUUCGAAAGAAAGAUUAAUACCUGAUAGUAUGGUGAGAUUGCAUGAUAACACCAUUAAAGAUUUAUUGGUAAACGAUGGGGAUGCGUUCCAUUAGGUAGUAGGCGGGGUAACGGCCCACCUAGCCUGCGAUGGAUAGGGGUUCUGAGAGGAAGGUCCCCCACAUUGGAACUGAGACACGGUCCAAACUCCUACGGGGAGGCAGCAGUGAGGAAUAUUGGUCAAUGGGGCGAGAGCCUGAACCAGCCAAGUAGCGUGAAGGAUGAAGGUCCUACGGAUUGUAAACUUCUUUAUACGGGAAUAAAGUUUCCUACGUGUAGGAUUUUGUAUGUACCGUAUGAAUAAGCAUCGGCUAACUCCGUGCCAGCAGCCGCGGU
rnacentral:rRNA from 1 species